rnacentral:snoRNA from 11 species
ACGGCCUUACUUGAACAGGAUCUGUUCUAUAGGCUCGUACCUCUGUAUUCUUGAUUCCUAAGAAGACAUAAAAAUUUGACAUUUUAUAACAUACACAUUUAAUAAAAUUU